AUCAGAAGUGCGAAUGCUGACAUAAGUAACGAUAAUGCGGGUGAAAAACCCGCACGCCGGAAGACCAAGGGUUCCUGUCCAACGUUAAUCGGGGCAGGGUGAGUCGACCCCUAAGGCGAGGCUGAAAAGCGUAGUCGAUGGGCAACGGGUUAAUAUUCCCGUACUGGUGGUAACUGCGAAGGGGGGACGGAGAAAGCUAAAUCAUCCGGGCGACGGUUGUCCCGGUUUAAGCGUGCAGGUGGACUGACCAGGCAAAUCCGGUCGGUUGUUAACACUGAGGCGUGACGACGAGCCACUACGGUGGUGAAGUGAUUGAUGCUCUGCUUCCGGGAA
rnacentral:rRNA from 1 species